CCUACGGGCGGCUGCAGUGGGGAAUUUUGGACAAUGGGGGCAACCCUGAUCCAGCCAUGCCGCGUGCGGGAAGAAGGCCUUCGGGUUGUAAACCGCUUUUGUCAGGGAAGAAACGGUCUGCGCUAAUACCGCGGACUAAUGACGGUACCUGAAGAAUAAGCACCGGCUAACUACGUGCCAGCAGCCGCGGUAAUACGUAGGGUGCAAGCGUUAAUCGGAAUUACUGGGCGUAAAGCGUGCGCAGGCGGCUUUGCAAGACAGAUGUGAAAUCCCCGGGCUCAACCUGGGAACUGCAUUUGUGACUGCAUGGCUAGAGUGCGGCAGAGGGGGAUGGAAUUCCGCGUGUAGCAGUGAAAUGCGUAGAUAUGCGGAGGAACACCGAUGGCGAAGGCAAUCCCCUGGGCCUGCACUGACGCUCAUGCACGAAAGCGUGGGGAGCAAACAGGAUUAGAUACCCCGGUAGUC
rnacentral:rRNA from 1 species